UCCCGGAUGGCGCAGUGGUUAACGCACCUGCCUGGCAAGUAGGAGAUCGCAGGUUCGAAUCCUGGUCCGGUAG